UGAACGCUGGCGGCAUGCCUUACACAUGCACGUCGAACGGCAUCGCGGGAAAGCUUGCUUUCCUGGCGGCGAGUGGCGAACGGGUGAGUAACACAUCGGAACGUACCGGCUAGUGGGGGAUAACCCGUCGAAAGACGGGCUAAUACCGCAUACGCUCUUCGGAGGAAAGCAGGGGACCUUUGGGCCUUGCGCUAGUCGAGCGGCCGAUGUCCGAUUAGCUAGUUGGUGGGGUAAAGGCCUACCAAGGCGACGAUCGGUAGCGGGUCUGAGAGGACGAUCCGCCACACUGGGACUGAGACACGGCCCAGACUCCUACGGGAGGCAGCAGUGGGGAAUCUUGGACAAUGGGGGCAACCCUGAUCCAGCAAUGCCGCGUGGGUGAAGAAGGCCUUCGGGUUGUAAAGCCCUUUCGGCAGGGAAGAAAUCGGCGGGGCGAAUAACCCUGCUGGAUGACGGUACCUGCAGAAGAAGCACCGGCUAACUACGUG
rnacentral:rRNA from 1 species